UGAUCUCUUGCAGAACCCUCAGCGACCUCUCAUUGGACCCUAGGGUUCCGUAGAUCCCCGGUUGAGAAACCCUGCUCCAGGUCAUCUGCUGGACUGGGGAUCAUUUCCAACUAGGAAGUUAUUUGUGAGCACUAAACCUGUGAAAUGCCCAUUCUUUUGAAGACCCUGACCUGGAGUUACACGCUGACUAUGGUUCUUUGCGGGAAUGGGACCUGCUAUCGGGGUUCCACAAUCGGCCGCUAUUCGGCAUGCCAAAGUCUCGGCCUAAGGUUUCGACGCGGAUUCAGAUGCCUAGGAUCUCUUGCGACUGGAAGCGGGCGAAUCAAGGGUUGGUGUCACCACAGGAAACCCAUGUGUCAUGGGGGAGUCGGAUCAUCUGCUGUGUGCCUGGGGAUCGGGGAUCCGUUUGAUCUCCAGGCAUAGAGCACGGAAAAAGUGACGUAAUGGACUUUUAACAUCGUAAACCAGCGAGUUGUUUGUUAUGUCUCCCCGCUUGCUGGAAUGGAAUGUAGUCACCUCUUUCUCCCCUACUGGGAGAGAGAGAGCCUGUGGCAUGUCGAACUAUCGGGUGAACAAUGUAGUCUUUGGGGUACUGUAACUGCAAGCCUGCUAUGUGAUGCUGGAGGAUUGGUAUGCUUUCAAAACCCAAUAGAAGGGAGCUAAAAAAAACAUAAGGAGAGAAAAGAUAAAAUAUGAAGAUAUAUAGAGAGUGAAAGAUCACCGAGAGUGGAUAUCGGACUGCUGGAAAACGACACUGAAGAUGUAGUAAUGGACUCAAAGAAAUGGGGGACGAACUUAUGAAAUACUUUGUGUCAGUCUUCACUGUUGCAGAAAUUUGAGUACCAGGGGACAGAAAUGAAUGUCCUUGCUAUUACUCAGAAGAAUUUGCUCGAGAAGCUGAAGGGUAUAUCUGUCACCUGUACCCAAUGCACGACACCCCAGUGUUCUGAAAGAGUGCCUGCUCCUUUCUGGUUUAAAAUCCAGUAUCCAGUUACGUGCAAUUGAGAACUUCACAAUUUGAACUACAGUGAUCUCACCAAAGUUGUUUAUGGAGGUAAGGGUGAAUAUUGGCUCUCCUUUCCCACCUCAACUGUCAUAUUGACAUUUUGUUUCACACUUCAAUUCCCAACCUAAUUUGGUCACAAUGAUUUAUUUGAUAUUCAUUGAUACAAAUACAAAUAUGGCGGGAGGAGACGAUGGCGGCGCGACGCAGCUCGCAGCGGCCACUCCGAUGGUGAUGUCUGUUAUUUAUCAAGUAUGGUGCCAUGCACAAUCCUGAUUUGAUGGAGACGGACGUGAGAGCACGGAGGAACAUCUGGAGAAACUUCUGAAAUGCCUGCUUUGCUGCUGCUGCUACUGUGUGGUCCAGAAUCUCUGGAGGAGAAGGCCCUGAGUCCUCGGCUUUGCUUGUUGCUUGGCAGCCAGGGUAGGGUCGAAGCACUCAGCAGAGGAUGGUGCUCGGAGAGGCUGUUCGGAGGCUCGAAGUUUUCAGAUGGACUCAGAGUUGGCUGCAGUUGAGUGCUUCCAAUGCAUCGGCAAGCUGUUGGCGCUUGGAGGUUCAUGGCAGGGAGAGUUUCUCCCUUCUGCCGCCUGCGUUAGAUGAUGAGUUGAUCGGGGACUUUGAGACUUUAUUUUACCAUGCCCAUGGUCUGCUCUUUAUCAAAUUAUG